rnacentral:rRNA from 1 species
GAUGAACGCUGGCGGCGUGCCUAAUACAUGCCAGUCGAGCGAACAGACGAGGAGCUUGCUCCUCUGACGUUAGCGGCGGACGGGUGAGUAACACGUGGAUAACCUACCUAUAAGACUGGGAUAACUUCGGGAAACCGGAGCUAAUACCGGAUAAUAUAUUGAACCGCAUGGUUCAAUAGUGAAAGACGGUUUUGCUGUCACUUAUAGAUGGAUCCGCGCCGCAUUAGCUAGUUGGUAAGGUAACGGCUUACCAAGGCGACGAUGCGUAGCCGACCUGAGAGGGUGAUCGGCCACACUGGAACUGAAACACGGUCCAGACUCCUACGGGAGGCAGCAGUAGGGAAUCUUCCGCAAUGGGCGAAAGCCUGACGGAGCAACGCCGCGUGAGUGAUGAAGGUCUUCGGAUCGUAAAACUCUGUUAUUAGGGAAGAACAAAUGUGUAAGUAACUAUGCACGUCUUGACGGUACCUAAUCAGAAAGCCACGGCUAACUACGUG